GUUCCUGUCCAACGUUAAUCGGGGCAGGGUGAGUCGACCCCUAAGGCGAGGCCGAAAGGCGUAGUCGAUGGGAAACAGGUUAAUAUUCCUGUACUUGGUGUUACUGCGAAGGGGGGACGGAGAAGGCUAUGUUGGCCGGGCGACGGUUGUCCCGGUUUAAGCGUGUAGGCUGGUUUUCCAGGCAAAUCCGGAAAAUCAAGGCUGAGGCGUGAUGACGAGGCACUACGGUGCUGAAGCAACAAAUGCCCUGCUUCCAGGAAAAGCCUCUAAGCAUCAGGUAACAUCAAAUCGUACCCCAAACCGACACAGGUGGUCAGGUAGAGAAUACCAAGGCGCUUGAGAGAACUCGGGUGAAGGAACUAGGCAAAAUGGUGCCGUAACU
rnacentral:rRNA from 1 species